rnacentral:rRNA from 1 species
CAGAAAGCCACGGCUAACUACGUGCCAGCAGCCGCGGUAAUACGUAGGUGGCAAGCGUUAUCCGGAAUUAUUGGGCGUAAAGCGCGCGUAGGCGGUUUUUUAAGUCUGAUGUGAAAGCCCACGGCUCAACCGUGGAGGGUCAUUGGAAACUGGAAAACUUGAGUGCAGAAGAGGAAAGUGGAAUUCCAUGUGUAGCGGUGAAAUGCGCAGAGAUAUGGAGGAACACCAGUGGCGAAGGCGACUUUCUGGUCUGUAACUGACGCUGAUGUGCGAAAGCGUGGGGAUCAAACAGGAUUAGAUACCCUGGUAGUCCACGCCGUAAACGAUGAGUGCUAAGUGUUAGGGGGUUUCCGCCCCUUAGUGCUGCAGCUAACGCAUUAAG